CUCUUAUAGUGUAACUGGGAUCCUGCUUUUUCCUCCGGGCCUCACACUCUCAUUGGAAGUUUAUCUCCUCAGAAUAGUAUAUCUUUCCAGAACACAAUGCCACGCCUUCACCUUCCCUGCAACUCAUCACUGAGUUUCAUCUCUUUCCCUGGACUCACUCAACGGAAAUAUCCAUUGGCAACUUUCUGUAGAAAUUCAAUUUAUGGAGUAAAACAAGCUACAGUUCUACACGAUCAUUUCUUCAGUCAAUGCUGCGGUGUAAUGAAGAGCUCUUGGUGUGCAAAGACAGGGAGACACUGUCCUCCAAAGCUGAUGAUAUAAUCUAAAGAGACUUCACAAGAGAAAACAGAAACAUGAUGAGCACCUAAACGAUAGCACCGGCUUCUGAAAGGGGAGCGAAGGUGAAAGGCAUGGACGUGAGGGAGGACAGUGGCACAUUUAGGCUGUGCAGAAGUCCCCCAGAAGACCAAGGACAUGCACCA